CCCUCGUUGAAGACGUUGGCCUUCUUGAGCUUAAAUAUGCUAUUUCCAUUGCUAAGUGGCUGGAACGCGUCCUCAUGUUUGUUUCUUCGCACCCACCAGAUGCUCCUCUUCCUCACUUCAUACCUGAUAUAUAUGGCCCCCUACCAUGCUGUUUCACAAUUCGUUUUACAAAAACUCAAACACUGCGAUUGCCGCAUGAUCUUAUUCCAAUGAUACAACACUGCAGACAGCCAUUCCUAACCAUCAAAGGAAAAAAUGCACAUUGGCU